rnacentral:lncRNA from 1 species
GAUGGUGACAGUCACAGUGUUUGUGCUAUGACUCUGUGAAAGAAAGACAGAACUUGAAGCUAGAGGUAUGUUGCCAAAAAAAGACAGACUUGGAUUUCACCAUUUUUCUUCUUGAAGAAAAUAUUAAGUAGAAAGUCCAGCACUGUUCUUCCUAGCCAGCAGAUAGGAUUACACAAACUUCUUACUGCAAUUAUUCUCUUUGGUAGGAGACUAUGCCAACUGCUCCCAUCAACAAUGGAAAAGUAUAGACUGGGAGGAGUGGUUUAAUCCAGCCCGUGGCUGUGUUGUGAUUUACUAAUCAAAGUGCCCCAAAGCACAGUUCUUGUCCAGUAUUUGUUUCUUUAUUAAGCAGAGCACUGUGCUGUCAUAUGUGAAUCACACGUAUGACACAGGGCACUUUGACUGGGACAAGAGACUGUAAAAGUGCACACU